rnacentral:lncRNA from 10 species
AAGCACCGAGCUGUAAAUCGCUUGAGACCUGUAUUUGGUUGUUUUGUUGGUUUUGCCAAGUAAGGUCACUUGAGGAUUUCUUGGCUCGAGGUCCCAGGUUGCGCAGACUCUGACUGCAUCGAGUUGAGAAUUUUGGUCAGAAUGUUAAAGUGGAAACCUACCCCAGGCUGUCAUGGUCAGUGUUUUAGAGAACUUCUUGGGUUGGGGUGUGGAGCUGGGCGGUCCAGGAUGUUCUGUCAUCAGAGACUGGCGGGUUCUGGGGAACUUGGUGCCAUGGAACACAGUAGGGACGUUCUGCUUCUCAUCAAGAACAUGAAGACAUUAAGAGGUGGAAUUGUAAUGGGGAAAAAGACUUUUGCAUUCUGGUAACCAACUGAUCCUACCCGGACCCAUGAUGCAUAACUCAGCUGGUCCUGUGGCGCACACCCAGAGGCCGACUCAAUGCAUGAAGACUGUUUUCCACACCCCUAUGAUUUCAUCCCCAACCAAGCAGCAGCAUCCAUUCCCUAGCCCCCUGCCCACCAAAUUAUCCAUAAAAACUCUGGCUUCUGAGUUCUCAGCAAAACUGAUUUUAGUAAUAACUCCAGUUCUUCCACUUGGCUGGCCUUAGUUAAUUAAACUUAUUCUUUACUAUAGUACCGUGUUCCCAGUGAAUUGGUUUUGUCUGUGUAGCAGGCAGGACAACCCAUCAGGCAAUCACACAGUUACUCUGCAGUGCUUCUUUUUAUUUUGCUUUUCAAACAAAUUUCAAAUAUUAUUAGAUUGAAAUAAACUAUACAAAUAGCUUUUCCUCACAAAAAUGCAAUAUUUUGUGUAUUAUUCCUAGGUAAACUACAAAACUUUUAUUUUUGGAAGUUUUUUUUUGCAAAAAUAAAUCAAGAUGCUUAUGCAUAUAAAUCAAGAUGAGGCAAUGAAAAAAAACCAAAGAAUAACCAAAGAGAGACAAAUCAGUUGUCAGUGUCUGUGAACUCAUGUUCUGUCUUGCUUGUAAAACAGAGGGUUCAUGUGUGGUCCGCUAAAAAGCUGAUGGCCCAGUUAGGGUAGAGAUACAACAAAGGGGUGCAAGCCCCAGCAACACAUGUGGGGCAACAGUGAGGCAUCCCUCCAUUCAAACUGUAACUGUAACUCCUUCCUUUCUUCCUUCCUCCCUCCCUCCCCCUUCCCCCUCCAUCCCUCCACACUUCCCCCUUCCCUUUCGCCUCCCCUCCCCUCCCCUCCACUCCCCUCCCCUCCUUCCUUUCUCUUUCUUUAUUUUUUUUUUAAGAGAUGGGGUCCCACUAUAUUGACCAGGCUGGUCUGUAACUCCGGGCCUCAAGGGAUCUUCCCAACUCCACCUCUCAAAGUGCUGGAUUACAGCCUGAGCCACUGGACCUGGCUACUGUCCAUUCUUUGAUGAAGACAAAGUUUACCCUGAAAUCCUGUUCAGGUGAGCACACAGUUUCUAUCACUUUCUGGUAACUUCCUAAACUAUUCCUUAUGGAAUAGUUUUAAUAGUGCACUUAAAACACAAUGUAUUUGAGUUGGAAGCUUCGUUCUUUUGUAUAAAUUUUUUUCUCCCUCCCUCACUUCCUCAACAUUUAUUUCUUCCAAAAGCUGAUAACUCAAAUCCUGGUCAUUAGAUUGGUAGAUUAUAAAUGUAAUUCCCAAAAUGACUUUAAUCCCUUCAUCACGCCACUGGCGGGCAUCGCACAGAAAUGAAACUUGACACUUUGAAUACCAUCUUCUUGGAGACAGAGAAGUUUUCAAAGCAUGCAAGUUCAGGCUGUGAUUAUUCAACAUGUAGGACAUAGAUGGCUAAUGGAUUUGGUGGGAGGCCUGUAGCCAAAUUUACCUUUAGUGACUAAGUGGCCUAAUGCAAAUCAUAGUUUUACUUCCUAAUAGUGAAAAACAAAGCAUCUUAAAAUAUUAUCUCAGGUAUUGUCAGUAAUUUCCGAGUUACUUUUGGAGGCUCUGACUCAUUUGUAUAGAGUUUGCUUUAUGUGUCUAUCAUUAAAUGCAAACCAUGUUUUGUAUUAAGAGUUAUGUUAACCAAGUGACAUGACCUGACCUCUGGUCAGUGUUUUUUUGGGCAUAUUUUGUGAUGCUUACAUCCAUCUGUGCUCACUCUCAGUCUCCAUCCUGGGAACACAGGACCUGAAAUGAUAUGUAAACAUUAAGAAAGAGACAUAGAUGUCAGGCAGAUAGCGAGCAUCAUAAAUUGUGAACAGAUAGAAGUUCUUUGCCUUUCCGUGUGUAUUUCCACUUGAUCUUCCAGCAAUGGAGCUCCAUAGAAGUGCGUCUAGAUUGGUGAGUCACUCUGUACAUGUCAGCAGUGUGUUACUCUGACAUGUUGAGCUGGAGAUGUCCUGUGUCUUAGUAUAAGUACUUUGAGGUGCUGAUCUGAGAAAAUCUAAGUUUCUGAAUAAUGUGCUCUACCAUUGGGACACUGUUUCUAAUAAUGUCAAAGGCUAGUUGAGAUUCUAGGUUAUCCUGGUAAUCCCUGAAAAACUUCCCAGAAGGUUUCAUUUGAACAUCAUGUUUAGUGGCCACAUUAGUGGCUUCCUCAAACCAAAAAGUAUAAUAAAAUUCAAUAUUUUUUACCACUUCAUUUGUGAAUGUGAUAACUGUAGUUAAGCUGCUGCCUGUCAAGAAGAUGCCAGAAGUUUGCCACUGGAAUUUUCCCCCCAAAGGCUCUUGUUAAGAUAGGGCAUUUUUUGAGGCGGGUGGAUCAUGAGGUCAAGAGAUUGAGACCAUCCUAGCCAACAUGGUGAAACCCAAUCUCUACUAAAAAUACAAA